rnacentral:rRNA from 1 species
UACGUAGGUGGCGAGCGUUGUCCGGAUUUACUGGGCGUAAAGGGAGCGUAGGCGGACUUUUAAGUGAGAUGUGAAAUACUCGCGCUCAACUUGAGUGCUGCAUUUCAAACUGGAAGUCUAGAGUGCAGGAGAGGAGAAUGGAAUUCCUAGUGUAGCGGUGAAAUGCGUAGAGAUUAGGAAGAACACCAGUGGCGAAGGCGAUUCUCUGGACUGUAACUGACGCUGAGGCUCGAAAGCGUGGGGAGCAAACAGG